UACGGAGGGGGCUAGCGUUGUUCGGAAUCACUGGGCGUAAAGGGCGCGUAGGCGGCGUGUCAAGUCAGGCGUGAAAGCCCCGGGCUCAACCUGGGAACCGCGCUUGAGACUGGCAUGCUCGAGUUCGGGAGAGGAUGGUGGAAUUCCCAGUGUAGAGGUGAAAUUCGUAGAUAUUGGGAAGAACACCGAUGGCGAAGGCAGCCAUCUGGACCGACACUGACGCUGAGGCGCGAAAGCGUGGGGAGCAAACAGG
rnacentral:rRNA from 1 species